rnacentral:rRNA from 1 species
AGGGGCAUCAGGACAAAGCUUGCUUGUUUGCUGGCGACCGGCGCACGGGGUGAGUAACGCGUAUCCGACUACCCAUAACUCGGGGCACAGCCGCUCGAAAGAGCGAUUGAUUCCCGAUGUCACCUUUAUGGUGCAUGCCAUAUUGGUUAAAGUAUUCGGUACGGGGAUGGGGGAUGCGUCUGAUUAGGUAGUAGGCGGGGUAACGGCCCACCUAGCCGACGAUCAGUAGGGGUUCUGAGAGGAAGGUCCCCCACACUGGAACUGAGACACGGUCCAGACUCCUACGGGAGGCAGCAGUGAGGAAUAUUGGGCAAUGGGCGAAAGCCUGACCCAGCGACGCCGCGUGAAGGAAGACGGUCUUCGGAUUGUAAACUUCUUUUAUAUGGGACGAAGAAAGUGACGGUACCAUAUGAAUAAGCCACGGCUAACUACGUG